CACAGAGUCUAGCAAUAGCAAAGAAAUAAAGUAGUUCACGCAAUGCAGUUCAUGCAUAUAUAGCAAUGUAAUAUGCGUGAUUAUACGUAUAUAUAUAUAUAUAUAUAUUACAAAUUUACAUAUUUUUUAUAUUCUCAUUUUGCAUAUUUUGAUAAUUGAUAUUUAUUUUAACCUGGGGAGAUCUACUAACGUUACCAUAACACUCAGGUAACGUCAUGCUGCCAUUGUGUGGGAAAGGCUUUUGAUUGGUUUAUUAAUCCUUUACCAGGCUCCAAGUUAUUAGCAGUUUUAUGCCUGAUGAAACCACAAUACUAGCUAAGCAAAACGUUGCAUAUUCUGCUAAAUGUUUUAUUAUAGCCCAUGUUGAGCUUUUUAUUACUGUUUUUAAUACACAUUUUGUAUGUUUCACUUGGAUGUGGCUUUUGGAUCACUUAUAGAGUUGGGAGUUAGGAGCUCAGUGGGUUGAACCACUGUUAUUUAGCACAUUGGAGUGCUGCAGCAUUUUUGAGUGCACAUUUGUCUGUUUUCCUAUUUUGCUUUAUUGUCAUGGGUGAUUUAUGCCAUAUGGUGCAAUAUUUGAUUUGAUGUUUUGUAAUUGCAUCAGGAAGAACACUGGUUAAUAAAAAAAAUUGCUACCUCUUGGUGUGGAUGUUAUUCACACCGUUUUCUUGUAGAACAUAUCAUAUUUAGGUGCGCCCCCUGUUAUUACCUAAUGGGGAAUUAUUUUGGGGGAUCCCCAUUACAUAAUACUAUUGGGCCUAUUUACUAUGGUGCGAGCGAUCGCACCAUAUGAUGCUGUCGGCAUUUAUCAUUGCACCAGCAGUUCUUGUGAACUGCCGGCGCAAUGCCGCUCCCUGCAGAUUAUCAGCCAAUCAUAUGGAGGUAAAGCCUGAUGAAACGGCAUUGUUAGCCGAGAAACGCGUUGCAAAGCAACUUUUAAAUGUUUUUAUUAAACUGAACUUUUUAUCACUCUUCCUUGCUCCUGUGGGUUUGUGAUCACCCAUAACCAACAGCUUUUGGAUCCCGUAUUCAGCUGUUUGUUGCAGCCUAUCACGGAGGUCGUCUAGAGAAACCGGAUCCUCGUUACCAUCACCUGGGCAUCAGCAUUUGUUUGGCAGAGUCGCCAUUGAGGAGUCAGCCGAACGGCUCUGAAGUUUCGGUCUAUCUAUUAUUGCACUGCAUGUGCAUAUAUGUUUGACACCUUUACUUUCUGCUUACAACUUGGAGAGAGCAGCUUACCAUUGGAUUGAUGAACUUUACAUUAUAUUUUUAACCUAUCUUGGGUUAACACUUACUUUAAGAGACUUUAUUUAUAUAUUAUUUAUUUUUUAUGUUUGUUUAUUCAUUUUCAUUUAUUAAUAUAUUUUGGCACAAUUUUUAUUAAUUAAGUUUACAACUGGUA